GAUGAACGCUGGCGGCGUGUCUAACACAUGCAAGUCGAGCGAUUUACUUCGGUAAAGAGCGGCGGACGGGUGAGUAACGCGUGGGUAACCUGCCCUGUACACACGGAUAACAUGCCGAAAGGUAUGCUAAUACGAGAUAAUAUGCUUUUAUCGCAUGGUAGAAGUAUCAAAGCUUUUGCGGUACAGGAUGGACCCGCGUCUGAUUAGCUAGUUGGUAAGGGAACGGCUUACCAAGGCGACGAUCAGUAGCCGACCUGAGAGGGUGAUCGGCCACAUUGGAACUGAGACACGGUCCAAACUCCUACGGGAGGCAGCAGUGGGGAAUAUUGCACAAUGGGCGAAAGCCUGAUGCAGCAACGCCGCGUGAGCGAUGAAGGCCUUCGGGUCGUAAAGCUCUGUCCUCAAGGAAGAUAAUGACGGUACUUGAGGAGGAAGCCCCGGCUAACUACGUGCCAGCCGCCGCAGUAAGAC
rnacentral:rRNA from 1 species